ACAAUGGAGAGUUUGAUCCUGGCUCAGGAUGAACGCUAGCUACAGGCUUAACACAUGCAAGUCGAGGGGAAACGACAGAGGAAGCUUGCUUCCUUUGGGCGUCGACCGGCGCACGGGUGAGUAACGCGUAUCCAACCUUCCCGCAAGUAAGGGAUAACCCGUAGAAAUGCGGCCUAAUACCUUAUGUUUUCCUUAGAGGGCAUCUGAUGAGGAACAAAGAUCCGUCGCUUGCGGAUGGGGAUGCGUCUGAUUAGUUAGUCGGCGGGGUAACGGCCCACCGAGACGACGAUCAGUAGGGGUUCUGAGAGGAAAGUCCCCCACAUUGGAACUGAGACACGGUCCAAACUCCUACGGGAGGCAGCAGUGAGGAAUAUUGGUCAAUGGGCGGAAGCCUGAACCAGCCAAGUAGCGUGCAGGACGACGGCCCUAUGGGUUGUAAACUGCUUUUAUGCGGGGAUAAAGUGGGCCACGCGUGGCCUUUUGCAGGUACCGCAUGAAUAAGGACCGGCUAAUUCCGUGCCAGCAGCCGCGGUAAUACGGAAGGUCCGGGCGUUAUCCGGAUUUAUUGGGUUUAAAGGGAGCGCAGGCCGCCGGGCAAGCGUGUUGUGAAAUGCAGUCGCUCAACGUCUGCACUGCAGCGCGAACUGCCCAGCUUGAGUGCGCGCAACGUUGGCGGAAUUCGCCGUGUAGCGGUGAAAUGCUUAGAUAUGGCGAAGAACUCCGAUUGCGAAGGCAGCUGACGGGUGCGUAACUGACGCUCAUGCUCGAAAGUGCGGGUAUCGAACAGGAUUAGAUACCCUGGUAGUCCGCACGGUAAACGAUGGAUGCCCGCUAUUCGGCCCAUGGGGUUGAGUGGCCAAGCGAAAGCGUUAAGCAUCCCACCUGGGGAGUACGCCGGCAACGGUGAAACUCAAAGGAAUUGACGGGGGCCCGCACAAGCGGAGGAACAUGUGGUUUAAUUCGAUGAUACGCGAGGAACCUUACCCGGGCUUGAAUUGCAGGAGAACGAUCCAGAGAUGGUGAGGCCCUUCGGGGCUCCUGUGAAGGUGCUGCAUGGUUGUCGUCAGCUCGUGCCGUGAGGUGUCGGCUCAAGUGCCAUAACGAGCGCAACCCCUGUCCAUAGUUGCCAUCAGGUCGUGCUGGGCACUCUGUGGAGACUGCCGCCGUAAGGUGUGAGGAAGGUGGGGAUGACGUCAAAUCAGCACGGCCCUUACGUCCGGGGCUACACACGUGUUACAAUGGGGCAUACAGCGAGUUGGAUGUGCGCAAGUACGUCCGGAUCAAGAAAGUGCCUCUCAGUUCGGACUGGGGUCUGCAACCCGACCCCACGAAGCUGGAUUCGCUAGUAAUCGCGCAUCAGCCAUGGCGCGGUGAAUACGUUCCCGGGCCUUGUACACACCGCCCGUCAAGCCAUGAAAGCCGGGGGCGCCUGAAGUCCGUGACCGCGAGGGUCGGCCUAGGGUGAAACCGGUGAUUGGGGCUAAGUCGUAACAAGGUAGCCGUACCGGAAGGUGCGGCUGGAACACCUCCUUU
rnacentral:rRNA from 1 species